AUGGCAAGCAGAGCAGGUGGCGACGGCAAAGAACCCAUAAAUGAGCAAGUAGUUGCAAAUACCUAUGCCAACAUGCGCACUGAAAUGAACCAGCUCUACACCAAGAUCACAGAGCUGGAAAUGGAAGUCAGUGAGCACUCCCUUGUGAUUGGCGCAAUAGAGCCCCUGGACCCCACAAGGCGUUGCUACAGGAUGAUUGGCGGGGUCUUGGUUGAGAGGACCAUCAGGGAAGUCUUGCCCGCCGUGCACCGCAACAAGGAGGGCCUUGAAGAGGUCGUCGCUCGCAUGAAGGAGGCUCUGGAGAGGAAAAAGCAAGAGAUCACCGAGUUUGAGCUCAAGUACAAGAUCAGGAUCAGGAAGGGCGACAACAGCGCCAAUGAAGAAGGCAGCAUGAAGGAAGCCUCUGCCCAGGGUGUUCUUGUUGGCCCUGCAGGCCAGUAG
rnacentral:rRNA from 1 species